GAUGAACGCUGGCGGCGUGCCUAAUACAUGCAAGUCGAGCGAAUGGAUUAAGAGCUUGCUCUUAUGAAGUUAGCGGCGGACGGGUGAGUAACACGUAGGUAACCUGCCCAUAAGACUGGGAUAACUCCGGGAAACCGGGGCUAAUACCGGAUAACAUUUUGAACCGCAUGGUUCGAAAUUGAAAGGCGGCUUCGGCUGUCACUUAUGGAUGGACCCGCGUCGCAUUAGCUAGUUGGUGAGGUAACGGCUCACCAAGGCAACGAUGCGUAGCCGACCUGAGAGGGUGAUAGGGCACACUGGGACUGGGACACGGCCCAGACUCCUACGGGAGGCAGCAGUAGGGAAUCUUCCGCAAUGGACGAAAGUCUGACGGAGCAACGCCGCGUGAGUGAUGAAGGCUUUCGGGUCGUAAAACUCUGUUGUUAGGGAAGAACAAGUGCUAGUUGAAUAAGCUGGCACCUUGACGGUACCUAACCAGAAAGCCACGGCUAACUACGUGCCAGCCGCCGCAGUAA
rnacentral:rRNA from 1 species